rnacentral:rRNA from 1 species
CAGCCGCCACGGUAAUACAGAGGGUGCAAGCGUUAAUCGGAAUUACUGGGCGUAAAGCGCGCGUAGGUGGUUCGCCAAGUUGGAUGUGAAAUCCCCGGGCUCAACCUGGGAACUGCAUCCAAAACUGGCGAGCUAGAGUAUGGUAGAGGGUGGUGGAAUUUCCUGUGUAGCGGUGAAAUGCGUAGAUAUAGGAAGGAACAUCAGUGGCGAAGGCGACCACCUGGACUGAUACUGACACUGAGGUGCGAAAGCGUGGGGAGCAAACAGGAUUAGAUACCCCUGUAGUCCCUGUCUCUUAUAC